UGAGGUGGCGACCGGCGCACGGUGAGUAACACGUAUGCAACCUGCCGUGUAAGAGGGGGAAUAACCCGUUGAAAGACGGACUAAUACCGCAUAAUACUAAAUUACUGCAUGGUAAUUUAUUUAAACAUUUAUGGCUUACAGAUGGGCAUGCGCAUGAUUAGCUAGUUGGAGAGGUAACGGCUCCCCAAGGCAACGAUCAUUAGGGGUUCUGAGAGGAAGGUCCCCCACACUGGUACUGAGACACGGACCAGACUCCUACGGGAGGCAGCAGUGAGGAAUAUUGGUCAAUGGACGAGAGUCUGAACCAGCCAAGUCGCGUGCAGGAAGAAUGUCCUAUUGGAUUGUAAACUGCUUUUGCAGGGGAAUAAAGUGCAUCACGUGUGAUGUUUUGUAUGUACUCUGCGAAUAAGGAUCGGCUAACUCCGUGCCAGCAGCUGC
rnacentral:rRNA from 1 species